GAUGAACGCUGGCGGCGUGCCUAAUACAUGCAAGUCGAGCGAACGGACGAGAAGCUUGCUUCUCUGAUGUUAGCGGCGGACGGGUGAGUAACACGUGGAUAACCUACCUAUAAGACUGGGAUAACUUCAGGAAACCGGAGCUACUACCGGAUAAUAUUUUGAACCGCAUGGUUCACAAGUGAAAGACGGUCUUGCUGUCACUUAUAGAUGGAUCCGCGCUGCAUUAGCUAGUUGGUAAGGUAACGGCUUACCAAGGCAACGAUGCAUAGCCGACCUGGGAGGGUGAUCGGCCACACUGGAACUGAGACACGGUCCAGACUCCUACGGGAGGCAGCAGUAGGGAAUCUUCCGCAAUGGGCGAAAGCCUGACGGAGCAACGCCGCGUGAGUGAUGAAGGUCUUCGGAUCGUAAAACUCUGUUAUUAGGGAAGAACAUAUGUGUAAGUAACUGUGCACAUCUUGACGGUACCUAAUCAGAAAGCCACGGCUAACUACGUG
rnacentral:rRNA from 1 species